rnacentral:misc_RNA from 1 species
UUGAAUUUAAUGUGGAGUUGGUUGUAGCUGGCCUUGGAUUUAAUUUUCCCUGGCAUGUGCACACCUUCUCUUUCAUCCACACACACCUGUGAACCUGUGAGACAGUAGUUUGGGGACUUUAUUGAACCCACUUCUGUCUACUUAAUUUAUAUAAACUCAAUUUAAUUUAAAACGAAUGUAAUGGAUGUAACGCAUCUAAUAC